AAUCAAUAUGCUAAAAAAAAAAGAAGGAAGUUAAUUCAAAAAGAAAAGUUUUGUAUGGAAAAUGGUAAAAAAAAUUCCAAAAUCUAAAUACUCAAUCCCAAUCAUUAGUAAUGACACAUUACCCUGUGUUAUUGCUUAUUAUUUAUAAAUUAUAUUCAAAGUUUGUAUUAGAGUUUAAAGUGAUUGAACACCAAAUUCAGAGCUAUAUUGGAG
rnacentral:misc_RNA from 1 species